rnacentral:misc_RNA from 1 species
UCCGGUUUGACACCGGCAGUCUCCUAUGAGUUCCCGACAUCACUCGCUGGCAACAUAGGACAGGGGUUGCGCUCGUUGCGGGACUUAACCCAACAUUUCACAACACGAGCUGACGACAGCCAUGCAGCACCUGUCACUCGGUUCCCGAAGGCACUCCGCCGUCUCCGACAGAUUCCGAGGAUGUCAAGGGUAGGUAAGGUUCUUCGCGUUGCAUCGAAUUAAACCACAUGCUCCACCGCUUGUGCGGGCCCCCGUCAAUUCCUUUGAGUUUCAGCCUUGCGGCCGUACUCCCCAGGCGGGGUGCUUAACGCGUUAGCUGCGACACUGAAGGGGUCGAUCCCCCCAGCACCUAGCACCCAUCGUUUAGGGCGUGGACUAC